ACGGGUGAGUAACGCGUGGGAAUCUACCUUUUGCUACGGAAUAACUCAGGGAAACUUGUGCUAAUACCGUAUGUGCCCCCCUUUAAAAUUUCAGGAUACCUAAAAUGCCCUGGCAUUUUAUGGGGGGGAAAGAUUUAUCGGCAAAGGAUGAGCCCGCGUUGGAUUAGCUAGUUGGUGGGGUAAAGGCCCACCAAGGCGACGAUCCAUAGCUGGUCUGAGAGGAUGAUCAGCCACACUGGGACUGAGACACGGCCCAGACUCCUACGGGAGGCAGCAGUGGGGAAUAUUGGACAAUGGGCGCAAGCCUGAUCCAGCCAUGCCGCGUGAGUGAUGAAGGCCCUAGGGUUGUAAAGCUCUUUCACCGGUGAAGAUAAUGACGGUAACCGGAGAAGAAGCCCCGGCUAACUUCGUGCCAGCAGCCGCGGUAAUACGAAGGGGGCUAGCGUUGUUCGGAUUUACUGGGCGUAAAGCGCACGUAGGCGGACUUUUAAGUCAGGGGUGAAAUCCCAGAGCUCAACUCUGGAACUGCCUUUGAUACUGGAAGUCUUGAGUAUGGUAGAGGUGAGUGGAAUUCCGAGUGUAGAGGUGAAAUUCGUAGA
rnacentral:rRNA from 1 species